rnacentral:misc_RNA from 1 species
CGUAGGUGACCUGCGGAGGAUCAUUGUCGAUGCCUAAAACGUCAAACGACCCGCGAACGCGUUUAUUAACAAACCGUCCGCGUCGGGGGCGGGGGGGAGGCGAGCACGCUGUUUGCCUGCCUCCUCCUCCUCCCCCUCCCGGCGCGUCUAAAACAAAACCCCGGCGCAGGUCGCGCCAAGGAGCUUGAAACGAAUUCGCCCGCCCCCCCGCCCCGGCCUCGGCGUGCGGGGGGCGGAGCAUUCUAGUCGU